GCCAUAUACAUGCAACUAAUUGUCAGUUUCAAACACUGUCUACUCCAAGGUGCAAGGAGUAUUAUAUUAAAGUAAUUGUUUUGAGGGUGACAGUUGUAUUUACUACUAACAGUUGCUUGCUGAGCAUAUCUCAGUCACAAACGGUUGUCAUUGUUACUCUACAUAUUGCAUAUCAUUUUUUGGGAUACCAAGAUUGGACACGUUUUCAUGCAAAUCAUGUCAUCUCUCUCUCAGUUAUUGCAAAACUAUGACCUCAUAAAAACUCUCCAGUGCUUGUUCUUGAAGAAGUGUUAAGCUCCUCCUUUGGUAAUUUUUUUUUUUUUUUUGCGUCAUUACAGAAAUGCAUACAAAAAAAGUAUAUUAUUCACUACAUUUGUCCAUUAUUUGGUGAUGCCAAGUCUCAGGUCAUGAUUGUAUCAACAGAAGACAUACAUAUGGUUCAUGAAUACCGCUUAAGGUGCAAAUUCCUUUAAAAUGACAUAUUGUAUAUCAUCAUGUAUAACUUAAUUUCAUCAUUACUUUAAACCCAGAUUGAUUAGUCUGUGACAGGAGGGGUCUCUUCACCAAGCCAAAUAAUAUAGCUAUGCAAAAAACCUGAGAAACCCAUGAAAAGGGUGAGAUCUCAAUAUUUCACUAUUUAAUAAGAAUGUCUACCUUUCACUGAGUCUCUAUUAAAAAAAAAUACUCUAAGCACCAUGACCAGUACAUAAUGUUGUAGUGGUUAUGGUGCCAAAAGUCACAGCCACUGAUUGGUGGUUAGAUUUGGUGUGCUAAUGCAGAAGUGUGCACUUCUACUUUUGCAUUUCCCAGUAGAGCAUUGCAUAUGAUUGUGGCGGUCUGUAGUGUUUAUCGUGCUUGGAGUAUAACUUUAACUUCAGUGAUGGUUUAGCUGGGGAGCUAUAUUCAGGAAAAACACAGCAAAAUGUGGGCAACUAUAGUUGAUUUGGGGAAAUAAAAAUCUCAAGCUAGCUUAGCCUAAAUAUAAUAAUUUGCCUUUUAUUUCACUACCAUUUGGCGUUAAAGGAACACUAUAGUCACCCAGACCACUUCAGCUCAAUGAAGUGGUAUGGAUGCAAUGUCCCUCAGGUUUUAACCCUUCACAUGUAAACAUAGAAGUUUCAGAGAAACUGCUAUGUUUACAUAGCAGGGUUAAUCCAACCUCUAGUGGCUGUCUUCCUGACAGCCGCUAGAGGCGCUUCUGUGACGCUGGAUGCAAAAUUUGCAUCCAGCGUGCAGAGCGUCCAUAGGAAAGCAUUGAGCAAUGUGGCACUUGCCGCACAUGUGCAUUCUGCUCCACUCUGGAGCUAACGUUGGUGGUGUAGGAGAGGUCACCAGCUCCGGAUUAAGGUAAGCUGCUGAAGGGGUUUUAACCCCAUCAGCACCACAGGACGGGGACCAUGAGGGUGAGGGUCCCCCAAGGAUUAUAUAGUGUCAGGAAAACGGUUUUGUUUUCCUGACACUAUAGUGAUCCUUUAAGUAAGUAUAAAUCACCGUACAAUAUUUGUUAAGAAAAGUCCCAUAUUAGAAGACCUUACAGUGUUUCUUUGAUAAAUUGGGAAUUGUGGGGAAUUUAUAAAAUUUAGACCAGCUUAAAUGGAAACCAUUGGAAAAACAAUAACCACUUUAUUAUUAUUAUUUUUAUUUUUUUACUGUAUUCUGUAGACUAUGAAGUAAAACAAAAACAAAAUUGGACAAAAUCAAUGUUCGAUAUUUAACCAUUUUGGCUUUCUGUUUAGCAGCUUUUAGAGGCUUGGUUAGAGCUGUGGCAAGAUUUUUUGUUCUGAAGUUACUUAGAGUGACCCUUUAAAUAAAUUGGGAAAAUUCUCUAACUCUGUUCUGUUUAUAACGUUGCAGUUUUAGUCUAAAUUUUACAAUUCCUUUGUCAAUUCUCUACAAUUUUCAAUUAAUGAAUAACCCCUAUGAGCUAAAUAUUCCCACCUUGUGGCAUCUCUCCAAUUUGAAUAUACAUAAAUAGAUCCCAGCUUUAGAUAUCCAUUUCCACUGUUCCCAUCAUGACCAUAAUUUAGCUCAAAAGUUUUCCUGAUCUUUUUAGAGUCACCAACAGUAGUAGUAUUUUAGAACCACCACAAUCACAAUCCCUGCCUUGAUCUGUUUAGCUGAUCAACUUCAAAAGAGACAACUCAAGACCCACCACCAGUCCAAAUUUUGUCAGUAUCUCCACUGGAAUAAAACUGCAAAUACAUCAAUCGUGGAUUGUUGGUGGGCCAUGCGUUCGAGUUUGGGAACCAUUGCUCUAUACAAUUCCAGUAGAAGCCAUGCCUAAACUCAGUUUAUUCUUCAGUGUGUGCAUAUUUAAGGAAGUGUUGGCCACCUUUGAUCAUCUGGAUGUCUGUAAACUACAUUUCACAUGCUAUUCAGUCAGCCUAAUUGGAGCUCUAGGAGUUCAACUAACAGGAAGUUAUACAAACAAUGUUAUGUUCAUGAACAGGUGUGGAAAAAGUUUGUUCACAGACAUUUGGAUUGUCCAGCAAAGCCAUCACUGGACUAGAGGUUUCUAUGAUGUAAAGCCAGUCUGGCACACCUGUUAUAAUCCAACAUCCCAUUAUUUUAGUAAAAUAUACAUGGGAAGAGAUCCUAAAAAAUGGUCUAGAGUUCCACAUGACCAACAUUAGUUUAAGGAAACUGAAAGCCCAGCCAUUCAAUGAUUUGUUCUAAUGUCUAGAUGACUCAAUUUGUAACUGUAAAUAGACAAUAUUAUCUGUUGAUCACAGUUCACACUGGAAGUGGUUCCACCAUCUAAUGACCUAAUCCAUUUGACUUUUGUUGUAGUUUUAUUUAUAAGUUAUCUCACUGCUAUAAAUAUGGAUAUUGAUUUAGUGGCACCGACACAUUAUCAUCAAAUUUAAUAGAAUGAUCGGACAUUAAUGUUUAAUUGGACAUAGUUAUAAAAAUAAAAAAUGCAGCCUACAAGGAAAUGAAGCACAUUGAUGGUCUAUUAUUAAAUGUAUAUUCCCCCCCAACACACUUACAAGUUAUUUUCUAGGUGUCUGGUCUCCUGGAUAAUUUAUUCUGGUAGACCGUUAACCUACUGUUUGGAAUCCCGACAGUCAGAAGAAGUAAUUUUUUACGUUUUUUUAUACAAUUAAGAAAAAAGAUAAAGUGAUUUAUGUGCAUCAGAAAAUUUGUAACUGGAUCUUUCAUGGAAUGUUUCUAUUAAGUAUUAAUUCAUCUCUUAAUAUUCAUGACAUAAUACUCAACAAUUUCAUGAAAGCUGGGCCGAAAAUGUUAUAAAAUGUUUCUUUUUUUUUAAAUAAACGGAUGCGUGUGUUGUGAAGUUGGCAGGUGAUUUGCAAAAUCUAGUUCAAAAUAAGAGUUUAAAAGACAAACUCAGUACAACUAUUGUGGGCUACAUUUUGCAAGCAAAAGUAUAGCACAACUCGCAUUUUGUUUUAGGUUAAAACAAACCUGAUGACAAUAGUUGUAAACACAGCUAUAGAUAGCCAGCUAUCUAACAAUUUGACCAGUUGAGCCAAUCUAUUUGAUAGUGUAAUUGGAUCGGUGAGUUGGACCACUGAUGAGAUCUGAAUUGUUGGCCCUGGCGUAUUUAAUAAAAUGUAGGACUGAAAAGAAUACCACUACCCAGGUCCCCAUCCUUUAUAUGGAAUUAUCGGAGGCAAAACAACUAUGCAAAAACUGCACCUUGUAUUUGUUUGAUGUGUACCUAUAUUCCGUGUAUAUCUCUGUUUUUGGAUGAAAGACACGCGAUGCGUUAAAAAAAGAGUGACGGUUGAUUCUCUGGUCCUUUUCUCUGUCAAAUUACGGUGAUGUUUAUUGAGAUAUAUUGAACACUAUGGACUUUUUGGGUUGUCAAGUGUUAAUCUCCAUCAAGUCUUAAUUAUUAGAAGAUAGUCUAUUACUUUUUAAAACGAGUCAUGUUGGCUUUUCACUUUUUUCAAUGAACUCGGAACUUUUGAAGUCCACAGUGAAUGUCCAUGUUUUGGUCUAGAAAAACCAAAUUUGGCUUUAUUCUACAUGGCUACUUUCCAACUGUCUGUUUGGAAUUUUAUGCAUUUCUCGCGGGACAUUGACCACAUUUAUGUGAUUUGUAUAAUCCAACUGCUUUCUGGGGGACCCUGCAGAAACCUUCUACCUGUUCUUAAGUGGUUGUAGCUCUAUGGAGAGAUGUGGUUCUCUGAUCUUGACUUAAUGAUAAUAAUGUCUGUUAAAUAUGUUUAUUUUUUUUCUGUUCAUCUGUUAAAUAGGAUUUAUUGUACUUUGAAGAUAAGGACAUUGAACAUAGACGCACUGUACAAAAGGCUGCAUUGCACUAAUUCGCUCACAAUGCGCUCAUGAAAGGGGCGCCCCAUUUGCAGUGUAGUGUUGACUAUGUAUCACAUGAUGUAUGCAAGGUUAUAAUACAGUACAAUGUAAUGAUA